AGAACGAACGCUGGCGGCAGGCCUAACACAUGCAAGUCGAACGGGGUAGCAAUACUCUAGUGGCAGACGGGUGAGUAACACGUGGGAACCUUCCUUUUAGUAUGGAAUAGCCCGGCGAAAGCCGGAUUAAUACCGUAUACGCCCUAUGGGGGAAAUAUUUAUCGCUAAAAGAUGGGCCCGCGUAAGAUUAGCUAGUUGGUGAGGUAAUGGCUCACCAAGGCUACGAUCUUUAGCUGGUUUGAGAGAAUGAUCAGCCACACUGGAACUGAGACACGGUCCAGACUCCUACGGGAGGCAGCAGUGGGGAAUAUUGGACAAUGGGCGCAAGCCUGAUCCAGCCAUGCCGCGUGAAUGAUGAAGGCCUUCGGGUUGUAAAGUUCUUUUAGUGGAGAAAAUAAUGAUGGUAUCCACAAGAAAAGCCCGGCUAACUUCGUGCCAGCAGCCGC
rnacentral:rRNA from 1 species